rnacentral:rRNA from 1 species
AACGAACGCUGGCGGCAUGCCUAACACAUGCAAGUCGAACGAAACCUUCGGGUCUAGUGGCGCACGGGUGCGUCACGCGUGGGAACCUGCACUUAGGUUCGGCAUAACUCCCCGAAAGGGGUGCUAAUACCGGAUAAUGUCUUCGGCCCAAAGAUUUAUCGCCUUUGGAUGGGCCCGCGUUGGAUUAGCUAGUUGGUAGGGUAAAAGCCUACCAAGGCGACGAUCCAUAGCUGGUCAGAGAGGAUGAUCAGCCACACUGGGACUGAGACACGGCCCAGACUCCUACGGGAGGCAGCAGUGGGGAAUAUUGGACAAUGGGCGAAAGCCUGAUCCAGCAAUGCCGCGUGAGUGAUGAAGGCCUUAGGGUUGUAAAGCUCUUUUACCCGGGAUGAUAAUGACAGUACCGGGAGAAUAAGCUCCGGCUAACUCCGUG